UGACGUCAAGUCAUCAUGGCCCUUAUGUCCUGGGCUACACACGUGCUACAAUGGCCGGUACAGAGCGCAGCGAGGCCGCGAGGCGGAGCGAAUCGCUUAAAGCCGGUCCCAGUACGGAUUGGAGUCUGCAACCCGACUCCAUGAAGUUGGAAUCGCUAGUAAUCGCGCAUCAGCAUGGCGCGGUGAAUACGUUCCCGGGCCUU
rnacentral:rRNA from 1 species